GACCAAGGGAGCAAUCUAUAGAAGAGUACACAAAACAUGCCUGGUGUUAUAACAAGUGAAAAGAGAUGGUGGAAAGCGAUCUCUGAGACAGGUAGGAAUGGAAGAAGAGUGAAUACGAGGACAUGGCAACCGAGGGACUGCUGGAGGAUAGCAAUGUUGAGAACCAACUGAUACACCCAGAGUCAUGGAAAGACUGCGAUAUUGUUAUGCUAAAAGCAAGUAAAAGCUUUACCAGUUGUGAAAAAGCUACUACAUUUAUGUGUUUAAAAAAUGAUCUCACACACAGCUGCAACACAGGGUGACCAGCAAGAUUAGAGAUAAUGAGCCCCACACAGUAGCUAGUGCCUGCAGAAAUUUUAGUCUAAGCACACAUCACUGCCAGACUGAACUAGUAGAAUUUCACUUCACCAUCCCAGUCCCUCACCAACCUUUACCAAAUUCUACAUUUUAUGAAAAAACAAACAAACAAAAAAAACGGUUUACUAUUUUCCUGAAGUUGAGACCUCAACUCCAUCUUAAAGUGGCUUUUCAACAAUUUCCAUUUCAUAACCUUAGUGUAUGGAAAGUUAUGAGCAGAAUCACUAUGCUAUGGAACAGACACAGGCAGCUAAUGUGACUUACAUCAACCCCCGCCCCCUUCAUCUUAAGUCAGCUCACAACAACUUUCAAUAGGACUUUUCCUCCUUAACUCACUUAGGCUCUUUUGAAAAUACCAUUAAUUGUGUUUAAAAUGCCAAUAGCACCCACUGGCCGAGCGACACUAAGCUUCCCAAUGCUACCACCACUGGUGGCCUUGUGUACACGGAGGGCUGGUCUACACUAAUGCUGUAAGUCAAUUUGAGUUACGCAAGUUAGGCAACUGAAGUCGACACAACUUGGAUUGACUUACAGCGGUGUCUACACCGCGCUGCGUUGAUGGGAAAAUCUCCUGUCGACACAGCUUCCGCCUCUCAGGAGGGUGGAGUACAGACAUCAACAGGAGACCACUCUCCCAUCGACUUAGCAUCUUCACCAGACCCACUAAAAUUGACACCGCUGCAUCAAUUGCAGUAGUGCCGAUUUAGCCGGUAGUGUAGACAUGACCUGAGCCUUUGUCCUGCCUUAAGCAACUAGUCGUCCGACACCAAUAUAGCUCCAUCAGUGCUUAGCUGUAGUGUAGACAGGAAAACUGCUAUAAAUUGCAGUUUGCACUAGUGCGGCUUACACCUACCCAGGCUUGAAAACAUAAACCACACUCAUGCAAAACAAGGCUUGAUAGGGCAAACCUGAUGUUAUGCUGGAGAGUUGAACUGCUAACUGAAAACCAGAACACAUCCCCAGUGUAGCUAUGAUCUUAGCAACAGUGAGAAAUUACAACAUCUAAAUCCAGACACAUCCUUCAGGUAAUCUGAGCAAAGGCAAAGCUUCAUUCAACAUCUUUGCAGUUUCUAAUGAGUAUCAGAAAUCUGUUUCUAUCACAUAGAUCCUAAUCCUAUUGUAAUGCAGGCAGGAUCGAACCGACUGGCUGUUAGCUAAGGCUGUAGAGAAGACUCAUUUUAGGUCACUAAGCGGUCUCUGUGCCACUAGAUGGGACAGAACACCAUACCCAGGAGGUGUGUGGGUAAUAUUAUCACGCUCUUAUUCAGUUUGGAUAGUAUCUUGUAGUUUCCUGGCAGUGCACUGUUACAAGGCUGACAAAGUGCUACCCCUUGCUAGAAAGACCCAUGCCCCAGGAAAUCAUGGAUUUUUUGGGGGGUGGGGUGCAAAAAGAAGUACGAGUUUCAUCUGCUCUUGAAAGCAGUUAGUGUCCAGAUCACAGUAGAGGGGUAGAUUUCAACCACAUUUUUACAUCGCUAUUGAGAGUCAGGAUGCUAUAGUCUUUGUACAGUAUUCCUUUUAUUCAGAAAAAAAAGACUUAAGUACAACACAGAAAUUCCAGUUUUUUCGUUUCAUAAAUAUGCAGAUUGCCAAGUAAAAUUCUGUACAACUUGUAUAAAUACAAAUUUAUGUUUUCAGUGAUAGUGACAAAACAGCAUUUGGUUAUGAACACCUUCUCACCGAAGAGAAUUAUUUCCUGAAUGUAAUAAGCUUGCUUUAAAUGCUACCAAAAACUUAUUUUCAAGCUACUGAAAUAGAAAAAUAAAGACAUUUCCUUUAGGUAUGGAAUCAGAAGAAUUUGAUCACAAGUAUAACCAUUUUACUGCUUACUUAUCAGAAAGCGUUCAUAAGGAAACAGAGGUAAUUUAUUUUGGCUCUCAAUAUGGGCUUAAAAAAUGUGAUAGGUCUUCUGAAUCCACACUGAGUCUUGCACACGUCCAUACACUUCACCCUGGGAUGCUACACUGAGGACACACAAAAUAUAAGACUUGGGGUAAGAGUAGUUUGGGGCUGUUUGUUGUUGUUGUUUUUGGAGUUUCCUGGACAUGAGAGCAAAGGAACACGGAUUAUUCUGGAGAUUUGAUUUUAAAAUGGAGGAUACAUUUGAAUUAAACAAAAGCCUAUAGCAGUUCAAGGAGUAUCUUUGGCAUCAUUAAAUCUGUAUUUUAAAAGGGAUAAAACAUACUUCAAAAUAAAAACCUCCAAAUAGGAAUCUCAACAUGCUCUCGCUCGCAACAGCAAAAUCCACAACCCUGAAUACAACUGUAGUGAGAGGAAUCUGGGAAUCACGAGAAAAGUUUCGUGCAAUCAUAUGACGCUUGCUUCAAUUUUUCCAUUUUCUUCCAAUAUCACAUUCACUGCCUGAUGAACAAGUUAGUAAUCAGCACUACCAGAAUGACACGCAUCUUUCCUGAAAAACCAAAAUAAAGGAAGUUAUAACCAAAGUAAAAAUGCAUAAUAUCUUGACUUCACUCCCGAUGUUUAGGAUAAUGAGAUUUUUCAUUUUAUAUUCUGUCUGAAAGUUUUGUUUUGUUAAUUUUAGAGCUACAUUAACACAAUUAUAAAUUAAUUUCCAAUUAAAGCACAGUUGAUGCUGUUUCUUCUCAGAGGCCAUGUCCAAAACAGAGAAGAGGCAGAUAAAAAUUCAUGAAUAGGAUUAAUCUGUAAUCAAAGUUGGCAAACAGUGAUAAGUUAGCUAUUACAUAUCCUAAAUACAGGAGAACUGGACUAUCUAUGCUCGCUCCCUCCCCGUAACGCUCAACUAUUUAGAGCACUGGAAAGGCAAGGGGGUCAUCUAUAACAUAAACACUGUUUUAGGACAUAUUAGUUUCUUCCACUGGCCAAUCACAUUGUACAAGAAUCUUAUUCAACUGUAUACCCCAAGAAUACCACAUAGAGUACUGUUGAAAAGUCAACGGCACUUUUGUAGCAUUGUCAGGGCCCACAGUUUCACAGUGAAACCAUUAUGAAACACACCUACACCACCUGAGCUCUUCAGCAGAGAUCUGUUUAACAUCUCCUGCCUGCUGGAAAGCUCCACAUACAAAAUUGUAUCAGCUAAAAGUUGAAAUGUAAAGUCUGUAUGCUGCUACUCCUCUACCGAAUGAAGUCUCGGAUCUAAGGAUAUAAUUGCAACCUUACACCAGAAAUGAAAGUCCAACAUGGGCUUUGUAGCAUCAAUAUUCUUCUGGAGAAAAUAUUUGUUCUUAUAUUAUCAGAAUGGUAAUAUACUGAAGUAACGUGUAUAUAUGUUAAGACAGAGCUGUUAAUGACAAGUUACAUCACAAGGACAUAAGGCACACAAUGCAUUCAUAACUGCUGUAGUUGACAAAAUGGUUAUAUAGAAAUGGAGAAUUUAGUGGAUAUUCACGUAAGUGUCACAUUCAACAUAUCUGUUCAGGCCACAGAACAAAGGUAACCUAAGAAAGUAAUUUAUAGUCUCAAUUUGAUAUGUUGCAGAAUUGUACUAUGUUCUUGCAGAUAAUGGUUCAUCAGAACCACACCAUCUUUUCACAUUGAAGUAAAUAUUUUCUAUAAAAACACCUUUCAGGACCCAAGCAAGGUUUUUUUUUCCACAUUCCUGUAGAUCACUGAAGCGCUGUUUUGCAUCAUAUGGGCUGAACAGCAGGAAAGGAGAGAAACUAAUUCAAGAAAAUAUGACUCCAGAAUUCAAGAGUAAAAAUCAAAGUUGCUUUAGCUUCCUUAAAGGAGGCUUUUUUAUAUCAUUAGAACUCCAAAGAAAACUGAUGCUGAAUAUUAGGAAAAUUUUUGAUGGCAAUGGAUUUUUUGGGAGGGUGAGGGAGAGGAGGGCAGGGGGAAGUAGUGAAAGCCCUAUUACCUGGAACUUUUAAAACUAGCAUGGACUAAAAUAGUAGAAAAAAAGCAUUGUAGAGAACAAUCCAGCCUUUGCAGGGACAGGAUGAUUUGACAGAUUACCCUCCCCCCCCCACUUCUACAAUUCUAUAUUUGUGAGGUUAACCAGUUUAAAAAAUCCUUACAUGUUAUUUCCAUAUCAUUAAAAAAAUUAAAGAUUUUUU